GAAUGUGAAGGUGAUCUAGCUGUGACAUUUAUCCCCCCAUUGAUACCCAGGGUUGUUUCAGUUGUUUUGACGGGCGGGGGGGGGGGCCCCUUCCUCCCUCACUGCUCUAUGUGCACACCCCCCCCCCCCCCCGCCCUUGCCCCAAGCUGGUCUUCUGUGGAAGAGGACGGCCUUCUCCGAAUAGAGAUGGGUCGGUAUUUAGUAGAGGGUAUAGGAGUAGCAGUGCUCCCCUGCUAGAACCUCCAAACAAACUCUCAAUAAGUUACAGCUUUUAAAAAAUCCCUUCUUAAUGCAAAUAAGGACAAUGAGAUAUCACUGUACAACUAUGUAAAUGUCAUACAUU
rnacentral:snRNA from 1 species